rnacentral:lncRNA from 1 species
CAUGUUUGAAUUCAAAUUUGAAUCACAAAAGGCUUUAAAAGAUUUUGUUUACACCUAUUUGAGCUUUGGAUCUUCAAACCAUUAAGGUUUAUAUAUAAAAGGGGUUUAUUGCACCUAUGAGCUAUCCCAUAAUUUUUGGAUAAUUAUUUGGAGUUGAAAAAGUAUUUUAUUUAAAUAGAUAUAUGGCCCUAAAGGCAUUUAUAGGGCAAAUGUAUUUUUACAUAUUUUAUUUUGAAGAAAAACUACUUCCAAAAGUUGUAUCUUGGUAGGACAUGAUUUUACAAAUUUUCUGGAAUUUUUUUGGACCAAUUUGGAGUUCAAACUCAAAAGAUAUCAAAGAAAUGGGAAAAGCAGAAAAAGAAAAGGCUAAAAGAAAAAAAGAAAAGAAAACCGGACCGGCCCGGCCAAAAUGGGCCGAACCGGCCCAGUCCGACCGCGCCCGACCGGCCCAGCCCGCCCAGCCGCCCGCGCGCGCGCGGAGACGCUGACAGGUGGGGCCCACCUGUCAGGCUCGUCGUCUCCGUUUGGAAGGCGCCCGAGCCGCCCGCGCCGGACUACCCGCGCCGCCGCAAUCACCGGAAUCCGGAGAUUCCGGCCUUCCCGAAACCCACCGGCCGCGUCGCUUUAAAGCCCG